GAAGCUGGUGGGAGACUAGCGCACCUAGUCAGUAGGGAUUCAGAGAGAGGAAUCAGUAUUGAAUGUUAGGUUGUAAUUAUCUUUCCUUCACUCUUAUUCUCCUUUUCUAUAUAUAGAGACUGUCCUUUAGUCUUUUAUUUACUUAGUGUGUAUCCAUGCUCCUUUUUGAGGUAUGCUUAGCAGGCUCCUUCCUGAUUGGUUGAGGUCUAUUACUUCGUGCAAGGUUGACAUAACUGCCUUUUCCCAUUUUUCCGCUGGUGGCGGCUAUCAUGUCAUUCUUU
rnacentral:lncRNA from 1 species